rnacentral:rRNA from 1 species
GAUGAACGCUGGCGGCGUGUCUAAUACAUGCAAGUCGAGCGAACAGACGAGGAGCUUGCUCCUCUGACGUUAGCGGCGGACGGGUGAGUAACACGUGGAUAACCUACCUAUAAGACUGGGAUAACUUCGGGAAACCGGAGCUAAUACCGGAUAAUAUAUUGAACCGCAUGGUUCGAUAGUGAAAGACGGUUUUGCUGUCACUUAUAGAUGGAUCCGCGCCGCAUUAGCUAGUUGGUAAGGUAACGGCUUACCAAGGCAACGAUGCGUAGCCGACCUGAGAGGGUGAUCGGCCACACUGGAACUGAGACACGGUCCAGACUCCUACGGGAGGCAGCAGUAGGGAAUCUUCCGCAAUGGGCGAAAGCCUGACGGAGCAACGCCGCGUGAGUGAUGAAGGUCUUCGGAUCGUAAAACUCUGUUAUUAGGGAAGAACAAAUGUGUAAGUAACUAUGCACGUCUUGACGGUACCUAAUCAGAAAGCCACGGCUAACUACGUG